rfam:TPA: Bos taurus chromosome 1, whole genome shotgun sequence.
CCUGGUGGCUCAGACGGUAAAGCAUCUGCCUGCAAUGCGGGAGACCUGGGUUCAAUCCCUGGGUCAGGA